AAGAGGGAACCCGGUGCGAGUCCGGGACUGCCCCGCAGCGGUGUACGGGAACGACCCCCGCCAUGAAGCACUGGUGGCCCGAUCGCAAGAUCCGGGCGCCGGGAAGCGGCGGACACUAGGAGACCGGUGUCACGACCGGUCGCGCCCGUGAGUCCGAAUACCU
rnacentral:ncRNA from 2 species